rnacentral:tRNA from 1 species
GCCGAGGUGGCGGAAUUGGCAGACGCACUAGCUUCAGGAGCUAGCGGGGGCAACUCCAUCCGGGUUCAAGUCCCGGCCUCGGCA